rnacentral:rRNA from 1 species
UACGUAGGGAGCAAGCGUUGUCCGGAAUCAUUGGGCGUAAAGCGCGCGUAGGUGGUCUCGUAAGUCCGCUGUGAAAGUCAAAGGCUCAACCUUUGAAAGCCGGUGGAUACUGUGGGACUAGAGUACGGAAGAGGCGAGUGGAAUUCCUGGUGUAGCGGUGAAAUGCGCAGAUAUCAGGAGGAACACCGGUGGCGAAGGCGGUUCUCUGGGCAUGUCCUGACGCUGAGGAGCGAAAGUGUGGGGAGCGAACAGG